rnacentral:lncRNA from 1 species
GUUUUUUUUUUUUUUUGCCUUUAUAUGCUUUAUUUUGGAUUUUCAUUUGCCUUUUUUUUAAUAUUGUCACUUAGCUAUGUGUAAUCCAUUAUUAAAUUUAUAUUGGUUUUGUAUUGUCACUUAGCUGUGUGUAAUCCAUUAUUAAGCCCAUCGUAGUGAGUUGAAUAAUGUCACCCCAAAAUUCAUGUAUACUAAGACCUCAGAAUGUGACCUCAUUUGGAAGCAGCAUCUUUGCAGAUGUAAUUAAAGAUCUUAAGAUGAAAGCAUCCUGGUUUUAGGAUGGGCUCUAAAUUCAAUGAUUG